GAGAUAACAUCACAGUUAGAACCAGUAAACAUAUUUAGCGUUCGCUUCAGGGUGACAGACAGUGAAACUCCCUCUAAAACGUAACCAUAGAAACGAGUUAUCUCGAGCAAACAAAAUCCUACAGCUGAACCGAGACCGCCAUCACCUCACCAUCAUCUCUGAAACACGUCACAUCACCAGAUACAAUAAAGGACAGCCAGCUUUGUCCCAGAGGGACGAGAGAAACGGAACCGCUGCCAAAUGCAGACGAGCACAUUUCUCAAAUCACACCCGCAAACGCAACCAGAACCACAAAUUGUACUGAACUCUCUUCCUAUCCUACUACCGCCGCUGCUGGUGGCGCUUUACGGUGUUACUAACCGCCAUCAUCAAUACAGAAAAUCAACAAAGCUGCCCAAUAGAACUCACGUUUGCCACUUUAUCAAGUGUGUAUGUGUGUGUGUGUGUGUGUUUGUGCGUUCGUUUAUACGUUCAUGUCUCCCUAUUUUGCUUGAAACAUGUAAAUUAAAGCAGAUGCUGUUGUGCAACAUAUCUUCAUUAUUCCUCACCCUGCAACCGCUGCUACCCCAGAGCCAUCUGUUCUGGGCUCGAGACUUCCACGAACCAACCUUUCAUAUAUAAUACGGCAACAAACCUGCGUAUCAAUGGCGAUCGUCGGUUGGAACAAGCACAGCGUAUAGCACUUUUUGGCAUCCCCACACCCAAGUCACCCACAGCCGCACACAGACACCGAGCGGAAAAGAAGAAGGAACGGUACGCUCCGCAGCGCCCCCAGCCAUCACACACAGCGUUCGAUUAACGUGGAUAGCUGAGAGGAAAAGGUCCAGAACCAUCUUCAUUCUACCAAGGAUCAGCUACGUUCCGUUUAAACGAUUGAAAAGUUUCCAUAGCGUGUUCUUCGCUCAAAAUGUUCCGCUUGAAAGCAUAAGAAAUGUCAGCAGCAACAGUAUUGGAGGGCGAAGGUGACAGAAGAGAUAGCAUAUUUAAUAUCAAUCGAGUGGCAAUAAGUAGGUAAAGAAGUAAAAUUAUUUGUUAAAGAAGAUGUGCGAUGGAUGAAAGCGUAGUGUAGCGUGGGCUGCGGGUGCGAGUUCUCUUAAAGUAGGCUGUGUGUGUGUGUGAGUGAGUGUGUGUGUGUGUGUGUGUAUGUGUGUGUUUGUGUGUGUUGUGUGGUGGACGCUCUAUGUUGUAGGCUCCGUGAAGCGUUGAAUGGACUUGCGAGCAAAGGAAUCAGCCAAGCGAUGACACAACACGAUCUAAGGCGCCCCCCGAUAGUCACGAAAGCAAAUCAAGCAAAACAUUUGUGAUAAUACUUUAAUCGCAAGAAACUCUUACUCUUCACACACACAUGCAUCUCAUGAUUGUUUGGCAGUCUCUGUACCCAAGCUGUAGCGGCAAACGGUUGUAAAGGAGAGAAGCUGUAUUAGAGGUAGAGCAAAGGCAAUAAGUGAAACACACAACACUGAUAAGGAAGCCACGACGCGCUCCUUCUUGAGAGCAUAAAAUGCAUGAAAAGCCCACUCUUUGUUUGGAACGCUGCUCUCGAAUACAGCGAAUGUAUGCUGCAUUUCAGUUUAUGGUUUCGCAUCAACUGCUGAAACACGCAAUAAGAUACAGUCAAUUCAUCCGGCUCUUUGAUUGGAGAGAAGGACAAAACCUUGUAGAUGCGUGUUUCCCGGUUGUCCGGCGGUAUUGCUGCUGCUACUGCAUAUUCCACUCACGUUCCAACGCUUAUGAUAUUUUAUGCAUUCGGUCAACAUGCAAUUUGUGUUAGCUACCUGCACCUUUGGAAAUAGUGGCGCAUACAGCAUAGUUUAUCAUUUUAGGAUUCAUUGAAUGCUAUCAGUUUUCACGCGUAUACGCGUAAAAAUCAGUCAAGCUAGGGCAUGUUGGGUCAACAUGCACCCACACAUUUUGUCAUCACCGUGCAAAACUUGCCGAAGCAGUGGCCGUUGAAAGAAGGCCAACCGACCGACCAACAUCACAUAACUUCCAAAUAUUCCACCAAUUUUAACACUAUUAGUCAAUUGCUUAGCACUGAUACGGGAAGAAGUAAGCUGGAAGCUAAGGCGUGAUAUGGGGAUUGACUAUGAAUUAGCGGGAUAUCGUUUUGGUGAAACCUCUAUUUCAUUGUUUUAUUCAACCCGUUUCUUGUAUCUCGCCCUGCAUACUGCUUUAGGUUCUCAUGAGUGAACAUGACAUUCUAAUCUAACGUUCGACAUUAUAGACACAACAGGAGUGGAUUCUUACCAGAUAUGUGGGUUUCACAUGAAGAUUGAAAGAAGAGAAAUUCCGAAUGAUAAUAAUAUGCUCUUGAAAUGUUAAACUUUGUUACAUCUAUUAUGUUUUCAACAGCAGCGCCAAGAAAGUACCAUCAAGGAAGUAAAGAGCAUAGGAAAAGAAAUAUAGAGAAAGAGAGAUAAUCAAACAGGAUUUUCUUCCAUAGUCCAUUACACCGUGCGCGAUACCGGUCGCGGUCGCUGACGAUUACUAGCAUCUCUAAUACUGUCGUUGAUCGAAGUAGUAUCAAACAGCAAACAUACUUGCGCGUGUAUCGAUAAUAGAGGACAAUGGUCUCAGAUUCAGAAUGAAAAAGAGCAAAGUUAAAUGGAGCAACUGGAGCAGUGGUUAGUAGCAGCAGCAACAGCAGUAACAGCAGAAGAGUGCUAUGUGGGUCGGAAAAAUUAACGAGUUGCUGAUAGUUAUUGUUAUAAGAAACUUAUAUAUACAUCCAUAUAUGUUUAUAUAUAUACACACACGCGUCUGUGUAAAGAUAUGUAUACAUGUAUAUCUAUAUAUGGAUGUAUACAUAUACAUAUAUACAUAUAAACAUAUACAAAUAGUAUCUAAAACAAAAAUGCGAGAAAAACACAAAAAUAUAGCCUAUUCACUUAAAUAGUUAUUUAAAGCAAACUAUAUAUAUAUAUAUAUAUACAUAUAUGAAAACCUUCAGAAAUUAAAGCGACGUCCUGCCCAGUCGUUCUCAAUCGUUGAGGACGAAGAAAGGAAGAAGUAGAUGGCUCUGGGGUAAAGAAUGAAACAAGCAAGCAUUAGAACAUGCUACAAAUAGCGCCAACGGUAGAGUCCACAUUAGAGCAUGAGAAAUACCAUCACUCUAAAGAAAAACAGCAGUGAGCGAACAUCUUUCCUAGGCCGGUGUGAGAGUGUGUGCUGCACCUAUACUGCAAUUCGAUCUUGAUCUCGAAUAAUCUGAUGCUGCUGAUGAAUGGAAAUCCAAUGGAUCUCGCUUCGAACAAAUGAACCAGCAUGCGAUGCGAUGCGAUGCAAGAAAACAAUGGCUUGAUCUGUGACUAUGGAAGGUAGUAAGAAGAACAAAUGCGAGUCGGGCACACUCUGUUGUACAGUACAGUAUGUUUUUCUCUCUAUUUCUCUUAACAUCAAUUAACAAAACAAAACAACAAAAAACAGAAAGAAGAAAAACGAACAAUACACAAACAGGAGUUUGCAGAACAUUGUAGAAUAAGCGAAUGCUAUACAUAUACUCUAGAUGCCGCCAAUAUUCUUGAAUCGAUUCGCGAUUUGAAAGGGUUGCAUGAAGAUCAAACCAAGAGAAGCAAUGCAAAAUAUGCAAGAUGCGUGGAAAAACUUACAAACAGAACAAAUAAUUAAUGUUUAAGGACAGUUAUCGCAUAGCACAACAACAAUGUGUAACAUCGCUAGACAGAGAAAAAGUAUCACCCGUUCGCCGGGAAUCAGCAUCUCUCUAAGUGUGCGAUGGAUCUAUAAAGACCGUGACGGGGAACCAAGCCUCGCUUGGUUUGGCUUGACAGUUUGGUGACGAGCAAUCGCACCAGCAAAAAAGGAACGAACGAGAACAUGCGCACGUUCUUGCCUUUUUACCUUACAACUACUUACGCUCAUCUUUCGUUGGAAAAUGCAAUCCUAAAAUGCAAGCAUUAUACAAAGCUGCCAGGCUCACGUGUGUUUAUGCGUGCCUAAUCGCUUAUUUGCUAAGCGUGGCUUGUUGUAGCGCCGCUAGGAUCAAACCACUGCUGAGUACAUGCUACGGCGGCGUGCGCUAUAGAUUUCCUUACCACCCCUACCUGUACUUUGAAACAAACAAACAAACAAACAAACAAACACACACCAAGCUACUAGCUAAUGAUGGCCGAUGUGAAAAGGGUAGGAAAUACAGAAAGUCACCAAAACCACCCGAUGUAAGCGUAUCACGUCGGUUUACGGUGGGUACCAGCAAGAACAAUUGAAUAAGCGCGAAUUAGAAAGUAAAGCAAAGCAAAGCAAAACGGAAAAUCGUUACACUUUUGUUUUAACAGUAAACCCGAUUCUGCGUAGGGAAAAUUAACAGAAGAAACUGUUACCACUUGCUAUUUUCUAAGAUAAGCAAUUGAUUUUACUUUAAAAUCUUGAUGUUGAUAUCUUGAUCGAAACAAUCGAAAAUAAAAAAAAAACUAACUAACAAACAAACAAACAAAUCAACAAACGAACGAACAA